AUUGAACGCUGGCGGCAGGCCUAACACAUGCAAGUCGAGCGGAUGAAGGGAGCUUGCUCCUGGAUUCAGCGGCGGACGGGUGAGUAAUGCCUAGGAAUCUGCCUGGUAGUGGGGGAUAACGUCCGGAAACGGGCGCUAAUACCGCAUACGUCCUGAGGGAGAAAGUGGGGGAUCUUCGGACCUCACGCUAUCAGAUGAGCCUAGGUCGGAUUAGCUAGUUGGUGGGGUAAAGGCCUACCAAGGCGACGAUCCGUAACUGGUCUGAGAGGAUGAUCAGUCACACCGGAACUGAGACACGGUCCAGACUCCUACGGGAGGGAGCAGUGGGGAAUAUUGGACAAUGGGCGAAAGCCUGAUCCAGCCAUGCCGGGGGUGUGAAGAAGGUCCUCGGAUUGUAAAACACUUUUAGGUGGGAGGAAGGGCAGUAAGUUAAAACCUUGCUGGUUUGACGUUACCAACAGAAAAAGCCCCGGCUAACUUCGUG
rnacentral:rRNA from 1 species